AUACGAAGGGUGCAAGCGUUACUCGGAAUUACUGGGCGUAAAGCGUGCGUAGGUGGUUGUUUAAGUCUGUCGUGAAAGCCCUGGGCUCAACCUGGGAAUGGCGAUGGAAACUGGGCGACUAGAGUGCGGCAGAGGGUAGUGGAAUUCCUGGUGUAGCAGUGAAAUGCGUAGAGAUCAGGAGGAACAUCCGUGGCGAAGGCGACUGCCUGGGCCAACACUGACACUGAGGCACGAAAGCGUGGGGAGCAAACAGGAUUAGAUACCCUUGUAGUCCACGCCCUAAACGAUGCGAACUGGAUGUUGGGUGCAAUUUGGCACGCAGUAUCGAAGCUAACGCGUUAAGUUCGCCGCCUGGGGAGUACGGUCGCAAGACUGAAACUUAAAGGAAUUGACGGGG
rnacentral:rRNA from 1 species